UACGGUAGGCAGCAAGCGUUGUUCGGAAUUACUGGGCGUAAAGAGUGUGUAGGCGGUGUCGUAAGUUUGGUAGUGAAAUCUCCCGGCUUAACUGGGAGGGUGCGCCGAAGACUGCGAUGCUUGAGUAUGGGAGAGGAAAGCGGAAUUCCUGGUGUAGCGGUGAAAUGCGUAGAUAUCAGGAGGAACACCUGCGGUGUAGACGGCUUUCUGGACCAUUACUGACGCUGAGACACGAAAGCU
rnacentral:rRNA from 1 species